GCACCUACGGGACGCAGCAGUGGGGAAUCUUCCGCAAUGGGCGCAAGCCUGACGGAGCAACGCCGCGUGAAUGAAGAAGGUCUUCGGAUCAUAAAGUUCUGUUCUUAGGGAAGAAGUCUUAGGUUGUGAAUAAUGACUUAAGGUGACGGUACCUAUGGAGAAAGCUCCGGCUAACUACGUGCCAGCAGCCGCGGUAAUACGUAGGGAGCGAGCGUUGUCCGGAAUUACUGGGCGUAAAGGGCGCGUAGGCGGGGAUGCAAGUUGGGUGUCAAAACUACCGGCUCAACUGGUAGUCGCACUCAAAA
rnacentral:rRNA from 1 species